GCCCGGCUAGCUCAAUCGGUAGAGCGUGAGACUCUUAAUCUCAAGGCUGCGGGUUUGACCCCCGCGUUGGGCU
rnacentral:tRNA from 1 species